GAUGAAGAACGCAGCGAAAUGCGAUAAGUAAUGUGAAUUGCAGAAUUCAGUGAAUCAUCGAAUCUUUGAACGCACCUUGCGCCCUUUGGACAUUCCGAAGGGCAUGCCUGUUUGAGUAUCAUGAACACCUCAACUCUCACGGCUUGUCCGUGAUGAGCUUGGACUUUGGGGGUCUUGCCGGCCUGUGGUCGGCUCCUCUCAAAUGGAUCAGCUUGCCAGUGUUUGGUGACAUCACAGGUGUGAUAACUAUCUGCGCUUGUGGUUUUCCAUCAGAUAACCUUCAGUGAUAUGGAGGUUCGCUGGAGCUCACAAAUGUCUCUCCUUAGUGAGGACAGCUCUUUGAACGUUUGAUCUCAAAUCAGGUAGGACUACCCGCUGAACUUAAGCAUAUCAAUAAGCGGAGGA
rnacentral:misc_RNA from 1 species